rnacentral:rRNA from 1 species
GCUCCAAUAGCGUAUAUUAAAGUUGUUGCGGUUAAAAAGCUCGUAGUUGGAUUUCUGUUGAGAACAGGCGGUCCACCUUUGGGUGAGUAUCUGCAUUGGUCUCGGCAUCUUCUUGAGAAACGUUCUUGCGCUUGAUUGCGUGAGGCGGUGCUCAGGACUUUUACUUUGAGGAAAUUAGAGUGUUCACGGCAGCAUACGCC